rnacentral:sRNA from 1 species
AAGUCAUGUUUGGUAAAUCUUCUCUAAGUACCGCAGUAUUAGUCAUAAUCCUUCGUUUUUUUCAGAUUUUCAGCUCCAUUCUUUAUUAUUUCGAUGUUACUCAUAACCAAUAAAAUGGUUUAAAUUUUUAAAAAAACUAGGAUGUAUUAUGUCUAAUUCAAAUAUCAUGAAAGGUACUGUUAAGUGGUUUAACGAAGCUAAAGGUUUCGGUUUUAUCCAACCAGAAUCAGGACCAGACGUUUUUGCUCAUUUUAGCGAAAUCGCUAACUCAGGUUUCAGAACUCUUGCUGAAGGUCAACGUGUUGAAUUCAGUGUUGCACAAGGCCAAAAAGGCCCAAAUGCUGUAAAUAUUGUUGCUCUAUAAAUAAUUAUAAGCA